AGGGAGGGGAAGGGGGGCUGGGGCCGUCCCCGCCGCUCCACAGUCUGAGGCAACUCCCUUUUCUGUACCGUCAGAGCGUCCCAGGCCGGGGAGGAACCUCAACGUCGCUCUGGAGCUCACACACGAGGGGAACCUCUUGGUCACGCCUCAGGACCAUGCGGGACUGGUCAGCAUGAGCCUCGGGACAAGCCUGGUUCGAGCCUCUCUUUCUCGCAUCUGCAGGUAUUCGCUGAGCCCAGCACGUUGUCCUCCCCGUUGGUGGGUUUCAUCCAGUCACAAGCCCUGUGAUGUUUUCACUGCAGCUCUCACUCUCUGUGGUUUUACCAGAUCUCUCUCGUGGUUUUGUCAGUAUUCCCAGGGGGGAGAUAAAGGAAAAUACGAGUUCUGCGAAACGUCUGUUGAUGUGCCGCACUGUAUUCAGCAACUUUCUGAGUAGAUUGAAGAAUAAAUACAUUCCGAAUUGUUA